rnacentral:rRNA from 2 species
GUCUCAAAGAUUAAGCCAUGCAUGUCUAAGUAUAAGCAACUAUACUGUGAAACUGCGAAUGGCUCAUUAAAUCAGUUAUCGUUUAUUUGAUAGUACCUUUACCUGGAUAACCGUGGUAAUUCUAGAGCUAAUACAUGCUAAAAACCUCGACUUCGGAAGGGGUGUAUUUAUUAGAUAAAAAACCAAUGCCCUUCGGGGCUCCUUGGUGAAUCAUAAUAACUUAACGAAUCGCAUGGCCUUGCGCCGGCGAUGGUUCAUUCAAAUUUCUGCCCUAUCAACUUUCGAUGGUAAGAUAGAGGCUUACCAUGGUCUUAACGGGUAACGGGGAAUUAGGGUUCUAUUCCGGAGAGGGAGCCUGAGAAACGGCUACCACAUCCAAGGAAGGCAGCAGGCGCGCAAAUUACCCAAUCCCGACACGGGGAGGUAGUGACAAUAAAUACUGAUACGGGGCUCUUUUGGGUCUCGUAAUUGGAAUGAGUACAAUCUAAAUCCCUUAACGAGGAACAAUUGGAGGGCAAGUCUGGUGCCAGCAGCCGCGGUAAUUCCAGCUCCAAUAGCGUAUAUUAAAGUUGUUGCCGUUAAAAAGCUCGUAGUUGAACCUUGGGCCGGGCUGACCUGUCCUCCUAAUCGAGCGCACGGGUUCGGUCUGGCCUUUCCUUCUGGGGAACCCCAUGUCCUUCACUGGGUGUGGUGGGGAACCAGGAC